GAUGAACGCUGGCGGCGUGGAUAAGGCAUGCAAGUCACGGGGGCCCGCAAGGGCAACCGGCGAACGAGUCAGUAACACCUUAGUACAUACCUCGAAGUGGAGCAUAGCCAGUUGAAAGAUUGGGUAAUUCUCCAUACUCCCGAGAGGGAAAAGCAGCAAUGCGCUUUGAGAUUGGCUUAGGUCCGAUCAGCUAGUUGGUAAGGUAACGGCUUACCAAGGCUAUGACCGGUAGGGGGGCUGAGAGGCUGAUCCCCGACGACGAGACUGAGACACGGCUCGUACACCUACGGGUGGCAGCAGUCGAGAAUAUUCCACAAUGGGCGAAAGCCUGAUGGAGCGACGCCGCGUGGAGGAAGAAGGCCUUCGGGUUGUAAACUCCUUUUCUAUGGGAUGAGGAUCGGCUUGUCCGGUUUGACCGUACCAUAGGAAUAAGAGGUUGCUAACUCUGUGCCAGCAGCAGCGGUAAUACAGAGACCUCAAGCGUUAUCCGGAUUUAUUGGGCGUAAAGGGCGCGUAGGAUGUUUUGCGCGCGUCUCAUGUUAAAUUUGCGGGCUCAACCCGCGAGCUGCAUGGGAUACGGCAUAACUAGAGGAUAUCAGAGGUAUGCGGAACGCACGGUGUAGGGGUGAAAUCCGUUGAUAUCGUGCGGAACACCAAAGGCGAAGGCAGCAUACUGGGAUAUUUCCUGACUUCUGAGGCGCGAAAGCGUGGGGAGGCAAAAAGGAUUAGAUACCCUUUGUAGUUCCACGCCCUAAACGAUGUCUACUAGCUAUUGGAAGUAUCGACCCUUUCAGUGGCGAAGCUAACGCGUUAAGUAGACCGCCUGGGAAGUACGGCCGCAAGGCUAAAACUCAAAGGAAUAGACGGGGACUCGCACAAGCGGUGGAGCAUGUGGUUUAAUUCGAUGCUAAGCGAAACACCUCACCAAGGUUUGAAACCCUAACGACGGUUUCCCGAAAGGGACUCCUUUCUAUGUUUACAUAGAACGGUAGGGCAGGUGCUGCACGGUUGUCGUCAGCUCGUGGCUUGAGUUGUUCCCUUAAGUGGGUUAACGAGCGCAACCCCCAUUGCCUGUUACAAGUGUCAGGCGAAACAGCCCUCUAUUGAGGGAGGAAGGUGGGGAUGACGUCAAAUCAGCGUGGCCCUUUGAUAUCUUGGGCAACACACAUGCUACAAUGACCUGUACAAUGGGUAGCCAAGCCGUAAGGCGGAGCCAAUCCCAUCAAAACAGGCCCCAGUUCGGAUUGAAGGCUGCAACUCGCCUUCAUAGAGUUGGAAUCGCUAGUAAUCGCGGAUCAGCACGCCGCGGUG
rnacentral:rRNA from 1 species